rnacentral:rRNA from 1 species
AUUGAACGCUGGCGGCAUGCCUUACACAUGCAAGUCGAACGGCAGCGGGGGAGAAGCUUGCUUUUCCUGCCGGCGAGUGGCGAACGGGUGAGUAAUACAUCGGAACGUGCCCUGUAGUGGGGAUAACUAGUCGAAAGAUUAGCUAAUACCGCAUACGACCUGAGGGUGAAAGUGGGGGACCGCAAGGCCUCAUGCUAUAGGAGCGGCCGAUGUCUGAUUAGCUAGUUGGUGGGGUAAAGGCCUACCAAGGCGACGAUCAGUAGCUGGUCUGAGAGGACGAUCAGCCACACUGGGACUGAGACGCGGCCCAGACUCCUGCGGGAGGCAGCAGUGGGGAAUUUUGGACAAUGGGCGAAAGCCUGAUCCAGCAAUGCCGCGUGUGUGAAGAAGGCCUUCGGGUUGUAAAGCACUUUUGUCCGGAAAGAAAUGGCUCUGGUUAAUACCUGGGGUCGAUGACGGUACCGGAAGAAUAAGGACCGGCUAACUACGUGCCAGCCGCCGCCGUAA